UUCAAGCAAAACAAGAAGUCUAGAUUCC
rnacentral:piRNA from 1 species